CGGCAGCCCGAGUGGUGAUCACUAUUAUUGGGUCUAAAGGGUCCGUAGCCGGUUUGAUCAGUCUUUUGGGAAAUCUGACAGCUUAACUGUUAGGCUUCCAAAGGAUACUGUCAGACUUGGGACCGGGAGAGGUAAGAGGUACUACAGGGGUAGGAGUGAAAUCUUGCAAUCCCUGUGGGACCACCAGUGGCGAAGGCGUCUUACCAGAACGGGUCCGACGGUGAGGGACGAAAGCUGGGGGCACGAACCGGAUUAGAUACCCGAGUAGUCC
rnacentral:rRNA from 1 species